rnacentral:rRNA from 1 species
AUUGAACGCUGGCGGCAGGCCUAACACAUGCAAGUCGAACGAGUGGCGGACGGGUGAGUAAUGUCUGGGAAACUGCCUGAUGGAGGGGGAUAACUACUGGAACCGGUAGCUAAUACCGCAUACCAUCGGAUGUGCCCAGAUGGGAUUAGCUAGUAGGUUGGGUAAAGGCUCACCUAGGCGACGAUCCCUAGCUGGUCUGAGGGGAUGACCAGCAACAAUGGAACUAAGACACGGUCCAGAAUCCUACGGGAGGCAGCAGUGGGGAAGAUUGCACGAUGGGCGCAAGCCUGAUGCAGCCAUGCCGCGUGUAUGAAGAAGGCCUUCGGGUUGUAAAGUACUGUCAGCGGGGGGGCGUUACCCGCAGAAGAAGCACCGGCUAACUCCGUGCCAGCAGCCGCGGUAAUUC